rnacentral:tRNA from 1 species
AGGGGUGUAGCUCAGUUGGUAGAGCACCGGUCUCCAAAACCGGGGGUCGUAGGUUCGAGCCCUACCGCCCCUGCCA